rnacentral:rRNA from 1 species
GGCCGCGUCGACGGCGCACGGUGGAUGCCUUGGCACUAGAAGCCGAUGAAGGACGUGACUAACGACGAAAUGCUUUGGGGAGCUGUAAGUGAGCAAUGAUCCAGAGAUGUCCGAAUGGGGGAACCCGGCAGGUAAUGCCUGUCACUCAUUACUGUUAAGGUAAUGUAGAGGAAGACGCAGUGAACUGAAACAUCUAAGUAGCUGCAGGAAGAGAAAGCAAAAGCGAUUGCCUUAGUAGCGGCGAGCGAAACGGCAAGAGGGCAAACCGAAGAGUUUACUCUUCGGGGUUGUAGGACUGCAACGUGGACUUAAAGAUUAUAGAAGAACUACCUGGGAAGGUAGGCCAAAGAGAGUAAUAGCCUCGUAUUCGAAAUAGUCUUUAUACCUAGCAGUAUCCUGAGUACGGCGAGACACGAGAAAUCUCGUCGGAAUCUGGUUGGUGCGUGUCUGGGACG